GACGAACGCUGGCGGCGUGCUUAACACAUGCAAGUCGAACGGAAAGGCCCUGCUUUUGUGGGGUGCUCGAGUGGCGAACGGGUGAGUAACACGUGAGUAACCUGCCCUUGACUUUGGGAUAACUUCAGGAAACUGGGGCUAAUACCGGAUAGGAGCUCCUGCUGCAUGGUGGGGGUUGGAAAGUUUCGGCGGUUGGGGAUGGACUCGCGGCUUAUCAGCUUGUUGGUGGGGUAGUGGCUUACCAAGGCUUUGACGGGUAGCCGGCCUGAGAGGGUGACCGGCCACAUUGGGACUGAGAUACGGCACAGACUCGUACGGGAGGCAGCAGUGGGGAAUAUUGCACAAUGGGCGGAAGCCUGAUGCAGCAACGCCGCGUGCGGGAUGACGGCCUUCGGGUUGUAAACCGCUUUCGCCUGUGACGAAGCGUGAGUGACGGUAAUGGGUAAAGAAGCAACGGCUAACUACGUG
rnacentral:rRNA from 1 species